UACGUAGGGUCCGAGCGUUGUCCGGAAUUAUUGGGCGUAAAGAGCUCGUAGGCGGUCUGUUGCGUCGGCUGUGAAAACCCGGGGCUCAACCCCGGGCCUGCAGCCGAUACGGGCAGACUAGAGUUCGGCAGGGGAGACUGGAAUUCCUGGUGUAGCGGUGAAAUGCGCAGAUAUCUGGAGGAACACCGGCGGCGAAGGCGGCUCACUGGCCAUAUACUGACGCUGAAACACGAAAGCGUGGGUAGCAAACAGGG
rnacentral:rRNA from 1 species